AAGGCCCUGUCAGCACUGACUAGCCACACACAGGGAGAGUCACCUAAACGUCCGAUGCCUUAGUUUCUGCCUGUAAAAUGAUAUAAGAGAGUUGAUAGAGCGGUUAAAAAAAUCAGACAAUACCAUACUAGCCUAAGCACAGCGCCUGGCACACAAAGACUCCGCAGUAAAAGGCGGCUCCUAUUAUUGGAACAAUUAGCAUAGAAACUCAACUGCCGCUCCUCCAGGUGGGCCUCAGAGGGGGUCGAACAGGACCAGACCCAGGAGGGCCCCACACCAACUUCCGGAGGGCAGGACUCUGCCUGCCAGUGAGCCCCAGAUCCAGGGACUAAGGCAGCAGGGGUGAAAGCAGGAUGGGGGCCGCCAUGACAGACGGCGGGAUCCGGCCAGCUGGCCUACGCGGUGCUUGCGAGCCUGGCGGCGCGCGCGGGCACUGGGCAUGCGCGGGGUGAGCGCGCCGCCGUCACCGCGCUCCGCUGAAUCCGCGUUUCCGGGAUUUCUCUGUAGCCUUCUAUUUCCAUUAGUGACUUAGAAGCUACCCGGCGCCUCAUCUGGGCUCACCUGAGCUGAGGAUCAGGAAGGGGAGGGGGCACAGUCAUUCCCUCGCGGACGCGGCGGGACCCCAGCGGACGGCUUUGUGCGGACUUUCGGCACCGUUAUGCCCCCCUAGCCCGACACCACCUGGGGCUGGCGCGCCACGUUACUGUUCAGGGCCAGACGCACCGCCCUGCCUGCUCCGGGGAGCCGGACCUCCGAUCCCGGGGAUGGGGGACCCCGAGACCUCAGACCCAACGGAGGGGACUCUGAUACCUCAGACCCCACGCGGGGACCCCGAGGCUUCAGACCCCCACAGGGUGACCCCGAGAUCUCAGACCCCCGCAGGAGUACCUCCAGACCUCAAAUCCCCAGUAAGGGAAUGAAAGAGACUUCGGAUCCCUGAGGCAGCAAAUCCCUGUAGGGGCAUCCCAGGACUCAGGUCACCGCGGGGUGAACCCAGACCUCACAUUCAGGCAAUCCCCAGGACGCCGAUCGGCUGGCACUACCCACUGUCCCGGCCACCCCCCCUGGAGCUCAAAGGCUUGGCCCUCCAGCUGCUCCACCCUGCCGGCAACCAGGCUCAAACCUGCAGCCCGCGGAUCCCCUGCCCCGGAAGCAACCAGAUUCGCGGGAGGUUACCUGACUGAUCCAAGGUGAUACAGCUGGUAACUGAUGGAGAUGUUGGUAGUGAAAUUCAUGUACUUUUAGUUCUUUCUAUGGAAUCUAGAGGUAGAAUACAUGUAAAAGAAUAUCGACUACCGUCUACUCAGGUCUCUGUUUUAUCUGUUUAUUCAUUCACUCUCAGCUUUUAAUAGGAUCCAAUGAGCCCUCUGUGGUUCUGAAGAAUUGCCUUGAGUAUAUGCAGCCUCAAAAAACCCACUUCCUAGGCUCAGUCUUUGAUCAAUAUUUAUCAUUAUCACCAGUUAUUGUUCUAAUAAACUCUACUCUGGAAAUAUGGUGUUAUGGUUUACUUGGGAGUGUGAGUUCAGGGCAUCAUUGAAGACUCACGUACUUUUACUGAGAAAGUGACAUUGAUCUCUGUAGAUUUUGAAUUAAAUGAUAUGAUGAAGUAUAUAAACCAAUUACUUUUGGUCAAGGUGGUAAAAAAAGUUUAGUAUUUGAUAGAUUCUUCAUCUCCACGAUCACAAAUAUUUUCUCCUAGGAUUUCUUCUAGAAAUAUUACUGCUUUAGGUUGUAUAUCAGGUCUAGGUUCUACUUUUUUUUUUUUUUUUCUCCAGGCAGUUUCUCACUCCGUUGCCCAGGCUGGAAUGCAGUGGUGUAAUCACAGCUCACUGCAGCCUCAACCUACUGGACUCAAAGGAUAAGAUCUGCUUUUAAUUAAUUUUUGUAUACGAUGGAGUCUUGCUCUGUUGCCAGGCUGGAGUGCAGUGGCAGGAUCUCAGCUCCCUACAAUCCCUGCCUCCCGGGUUCAAGCGAUUCCCCUGCCUCAGCCUGCUGAGUAGCUGGGACUACAGGCACACACCACCAUGGCUGGCUAGUUAUUGUAUUUUUAGUAGAGAUGAGGGUUCACCAUAUUGGCCAGGAUGGUCUCCAGCUCCUGACCUCGUGAUCUACCCGCCUCAGCCUCCGAAAGUGCUAGGAUUACAGGAUAAGCCACCAGGCCCAGACAUAUUUUUAAUUGACUAUUUAAGUAGACCUUGGUAAUAACUGCUUUUCUGUUUUUCACUGCAUACUAGCAGGCAAGGGCAAUUUUUUAGCCAGCCAAUACCGCAUUGAUUCUUGUAAGUCAGUGGCUAUUGCAAAAUUAACCCUUGUGGGUUAAAAAUAGAUUUAAAAUGUAAAGAUGAACAUGUAAUAUAAAGAAGACAAUUUCUAAGGUUAUUUUCAAAUUGAAGCAUCCGUGGUGGGAAACGAUUAUUUUGGCAGAGAUAGUACUUAAAAUAACACUUGGAUUUGCAAACUGGAGAACAUCAGCAGGAUAAUUCAUAAGCAUGCUCAUUUCCUCCUUGCUGGGUAUUAGCCAGGAAUACAGUACAGCAUAUGGCUUGUUAUUCUUGUAGCUGGAGACGACAGAAUUAAAUCCAGAGAUGAAUGACUGUUUUCUCAUCUAAGUCCCAGCCUGUCUGCCUUUCCAGGAACUGGCUAGUUAUGAUGGGACAUGGUUUUGCUGUGAGGCCAAGAUGCAGGAGGGGCAGGAAGCACCCAUGGGGCUGUCUUCACUGCAGGUGACACACGCUGAACACAGCCUUCAACCCUUGCCAUGUGCAGCCCCCGCAAGGCAAGCUGGCUUUGGAUUGACAAGUGGUUUCUGGGAGAUGCAGUAGAAGUACUUUUCUCUAUUCUUCUGCUAAGUCAACUAAAAACCCUGGACGUUAUACAUAAAGCAAACAGAAGAAUCCCCUGGAAGGCAGAAGAAAGCCAAGCGCUGGCCGAUGACCUCAGGGCCUGAGGAGCAUCACACUCCCAGGCUGGCAUAGGCAGAAGCCCAGUGGGAAGGGCAGAAUCUCCUGCUGCUUCCUGCAGGAGUAAUGAGGGGCCCUCCUGCUGUGGGGUAUCAACAGAGACUGAGUGUGGAACCCAGACUCCUGCCUUCACUUACAGUAACAAGGUGACAUUUCCCUUCCCUUCACACAGGGUUUUACAUUUGCUCCCUGUGAUAGCCUUAGAUCAUGUUAGGGCUAUUGAACCAGAGGCCCCUCUGUUCUGUUCCACACAAAACUCACCUCCCUGGAUUCUUCAGUUGAUUUUGGAUCUUGUGAUGAGAAGUUGUGAGCUUCUGUGCUAAACUUAAGGACAGAGAAGGACUCUAAUUUAUCUUUGCAUUCAUCAAAGAUGAAUUAUUUGAGUCUAAACUACCCAUAGCACUUAGUGUAGUGUCUGGGCGUAUAGGAACUUGAUACAUAUGGGUUGAACUCUUGAUGGAAUUGUUGAGAGCAUAAGUGUUUCUGGAACAUUCUGUUUAUCUGACUUUACAGUGAUUAACUAGACAUACCUUACAGAGACUGACACAGACAAUGAGAAAUUGGAAUUUCUUUGUCACCAGAACUGAAAUCUGUUGAGGGCGAUGAGAGAGCUGCUGUAGAGAAGUUCUCAUAGGCAUACUCUUCUCUGGGUAGCAUUGGAAACUUUCGAAUUCUUACUUUUCUAUUGAGAGGAUAUGGGAUUUGGUGUCAGACUUCAAUUCAAAUUUCAUCACUGUGCUCCUGGGCAAAUGACAUAGCCUCCUUGCACUUUGAUUGUCUCACCUAUAUAUGUUAUACAAUACGGUAUACCAUUUUACUGUGAGAGUAAGACGCUUCUCAAAUUGUUGGGGAAAUUUAAUUAACAAAGAUACGUGAAUGAAUCUAGCAUGGUGGCUAAUAUCUAAAUUACUCUAAGUCUUCAUCUCCUAAUAUUAUUAUUCUGCAAACUAGAUAAGAUAGCUAUAAUUUCCCU
rnacentral:lncRNA from 10 species